UCUGCUCAAUCCAAAUCAGUGUACGACUUCGUUGUCAAGGAUGCACGUGGAAAUGAUGUUGAUCUUAGCACGUACAAAGGGAAGGUGCUGUUAAUCGUCAAUGUUGUUUACAUAAUGUUACUCUAAUAGUGACCUUAUGAGAACACUAUCACACACACUCUCUCAUACUCCACAUUAUCUCUAAACUACAUGGAUUUCAGUACUUAUUUUGAGCAUCUGAGGCCUGGUGUUUAUUGGCGAGUAUUUUUUGAAGCCCGGAUGGCCGAAUCCAGACCUACAACGAGCAUCCCAAAGUUUUUAGCAGAAACAAAUUUUAAUGUCAAAAUUUCAACUUUCUAGUUUCAGGACUAAAAAGUUUGCUCCCAUCUUACCUACAUUGAAAUUCACUUACUUAAAAAGGAAGGAGACAAGGAGUGCCUUCAAUAUAAGUACUUAUUAGUCUACUAUA